CCUACGGGUGGCAGCAGUGAGGAAUAUUGGUCAAUGGGCGUAAGCCUGAACCAGCCAAGUCGCGUGAGGGAUGAAGGUUCUAUGGAUCGUAAACCUCUUUUAUAAGGGAAUAAAGUGUGGGACGUGUCCUGUUUUGUAUGUACCUUAUGAAUAAGGAUCGGCUAACUCCGUGCCAGCAGCCGCGGUAAUACGGAGGAUCCGAGCGUUAUCCGGAUUUAUUGGGUUUAAAGGGUGCGUAGGCGGCCUUUUAAGUCAGCGGUGAAAGUCUGUGGCUCAACCAUAGAAUUGCCUUUGAGACUGGGAGUCUUGAGGACAUUUGAGGCAGGCGGAAUGCGUGGUGUAGCGGUGAAAUGCUUAGAUAUCACGAAGAACCCCGAUUGCGAAGGCAGCCUGCCAAGCCGUGACUGACACUGAUGCACGAAAGCGUGGGGAUCAAACAGGAUUAGAUACCCCUGUAGUC
rnacentral:rRNA from 1 species